GACGUUAGCGACAGAAGAAGCACCGGCUAACUCCGUGCCAGCAGCCGCGGUAAUACGGAGGGUGCGAGCGUUAAUCGGAAUUACUGGGACGUAAAAGCGCAUGCAGGUGGUUUGUUAAGUCAGAUGUGAAAAGCCCGGGCUCAAACCUCGGAAAUAGCAUUUGAAAACUGGCAGACUAGAGUACUGUAGGAGGGGGUAGAAUUUCAGGUGUAGCGGUGAAAAUGCGUAGAGAUCUGAAGGAAUACCGGUGGCGAAGGCGGCCCCUGGACAGAUACUGACACUCAGAUGCGAAAGCGUGGGGAGCAAACAGGAUUAGAUACCCUGGUAG
rnacentral:rRNA from 1 species